rnacentral:rRNA from 1 species
UACGUAGGGGUGCAAGCGUUGUCCGGAAUUAUUGGGCGUAAAGGGCUCGUAGGCGGUCCAUCGCGUCGGGAGUCGAAAAGCUGGGGCUUAACCCCAGUCCUGCUUCCGAUACGGGUGGACUAGAGGUAGGUAGGGGAGAACGGAAUUCCUGGUGUAGCGGUGAAAUGCGCAGAUAUCAGGAGGAACACCGGUGGCGAAGGCGGUUCUCUGGGCCUUACCUGACGCUGAGGAGCGGAAAGCAUGGGGAGCAAACAGG